GAUGAAGAACGUAGCGAAAUGCGAUACUUGGUGUGAAUUGCAGAAUCCCGUGAACCAUCGAGUCUUUGAACGCAAGUUGCGCCCGAAGCCAUCAGGUUGAGGGCACGUCUGCCUGGGCGUCACAUAUCGUUGCCCAAUGCCUAUUGCAGUGCAAUAGGAAUUUCUAGGGCGAAUGAUGGCUUCCCGUGAGCGUUGUUGCCUCGCGGUUGGUUGAAAAUCGAGUCCUGGGUAGGGUGUGCCAUGGUAGAUGGUGGUCGAGUUAGAACGAUACCGAUCAUGUGCAUGCUCCCCAAAAUAUGGCCUCUAUGACCCACACGCGUCUUUUGACGCUCAUGACGAGACCUCAGGUCAGGCGGGGUUACCCGCUGAACUUAAGCAUAUCAAUAAGCGGAGGA
rnacentral:misc_RNA from 1 species